CGCCUCAUUUAUCGGAAGGAAUUCCUUCUGGUCAAUGGGGUUGUUAUACCUCAUCCAGAUCAAUGAGGUAUAACAACCCCAUCGACCAGAAGGAAUUCCUUCUGAUCAAUGAGGUG
rnacentral:miRNA from 1 species